GACGAACGCUGGCGGCGUGCUUAACACAUGCAAGUCGAGCGGUAAGGCUCGGUCGGGUGUACACGAGCGGCGUACGGGCGAGUAACACGGUAGUAAGCUACCCUUCUCUUCGGGAUAACCACCGGAAAGGGGGGCUAAUCCCCAAUACGACCAUACUUCGCAUUCGGUGCAGGGGGGAAGUCUUUUCGGUGAAGGCUGUGCUUGCGGCUUGUCAGCUGGUUGGGGGGGUAAUGGCCUACCAAGGCUUCGGCGGGUAGCCGGCCUGAGAGGGUGACCGGCCACACUGGGACUGGGACACGGCCCAGACUACUACGGGGGGCAGCAGUGGGGAAGAUUGGACAAUGGGCGAAAGCCUGCGCCAGCAACGCCGCGUGAGGGAUGACGGCCUUCGGGGUGUAAACCUAUUUCAGUACCGACGAAGCGCACUGUCGGGUGGUGACGGUAGGUACAGAAGAAGGACCGGCCAACUACGUG
rnacentral:rRNA from 1 species